rnacentral:rRNA from 1 species
UACGAAGGUGGCAAGCGUUGUUCGGAGUUACUGGGCGUAAAGGGUGCGUAGGUGGCUCUAUAAGUAUGGUGUGAAAUCUCCCGGCUUAACUGGGAGGGUGCGCCGUAGACUGUGGGGCUAGAGUGUGGGAGAGGAAAGUGGAAUUCCUGGUGUAGCGGUGAAAUGCGUAGAUAUCAGGAGGAACACCGGUGGUGUAAACGGCUUUCUGGACCAUAACUGACACUGAGGCACGAAAGCGUGGGUAGCAAACAGG